GCCUCCUUGGCCAAGUGGUAAGGCGUUUCACUUGUAUUUUCGCGAUUCUAUCGCAAUGCGAUGAAAAGAUCGGUCGUUCGAUCCGGCCAGGGGGCA